rnacentral:rRNA from 1 species
GACGGAGGGUGCAAGCGUUGUUCGGAAUUACUGGGCGUAAAGCGCACGUAGGCGGCUUUCUAAGUCGGGGUGAAAUCCUGGAGCUCAACUCCAGAACUGCCUUCGAUACUGGAGAGCUUGAGUCCGGGAGAGGUGAGUGGAACUGCGAGUGUAGAGGUGAAAUUCGUAGAUAUUCGCAAGAACACCAGUGGCGAAGGCGGCUCACUGGCCCGGUACUGACGCUGAGGUGCGAAAGCGUGGGAGCAACAGG